AAUUACUGGGCGUAAAGCGUGCGCAGGCGGUUUUGUAAGACUGUCGUGAAAUCCCUGGGCUCAACCUGGGAAUGGCGAUGGUGACUGCAAGGCUAGAGUUUGGCAGAGGGGGAGUAGAAUUCCACGUGUAGCCAGUGAAAUGCGUAGAUAUGUGGAGGAACACCCGAUGGCGAAGGCCAGCCCCCCUUGAGUCAAAACUGACGCUCAUGCACGAAAAGCGUGGGGAGCAAACAGGGAUUAGAUACCCUGGUAGUCCACGCCCUAAACGAUGUCUACUAGUUGUCGGGUUUUAAUUAACUUGGUAAACGCAGCUAACGCGUGAAAGUAGACCGCCUGGGGAGUACGGUCGCAAGAUUAAAAACUCAAAAGGAAAUUGACGGGGACCCGCACAAGCGGUGGAUGAUGUGGAUUGAAUUCGAUGCAAACGCGAAAAACCUUACCUACCCUUGACAUGGCAGAAAUCCUCGAGAGAUUGAGGAGUGCUCGAAAGAGAAUCUGCACACAGGUGCUGCAUGGCUGUCGUCAGCUCGUGUCGUGAGAUGUUGGGUUAAGUCCCGCAACGAGCGCAACCCUUGUCAUUAGUUGCUACGAAAGAGCACUCUAAUGAGACUGCCGGUGACAAACCGGAGGAAGGUGGGGAUGACGUCAAGUCCUCAUGGCCCUUAUGGGUAGGGCUUCACACGUCAUACAAUGGUACAUACAGAGGGCCGCCAACCCGCGAGGGGGAGCUAAUCCCAGAAAGUGUAUCGUAGUCCGGAUUGUAGUCUGCAACUCGACUGCAUGAAGUUGGAAUCGCUAGUAAUCGCGGAUCAGCAUGUCGCGGUGAAUACGUUCCCGGGUCUUGUACACACCGCCCGUCACACCAUGGGAGCGGGUUUUACCAGAAGUAGGUAGCUUAACCGUAAGGA
rnacentral:rRNA from 1 species